GUGAGCGUGGGGGAAUUGGUUACCCAUCGGAUUGCAACUCCGCUUAUGCAGGUUCGAGUCCUGUCGCUCACUCCA
rnacentral:tRNA from 1 species